UCUGGUUCAGGAUGAACGCUGACAGAAUGCUUAACACAUGCAAGUCUACUUGAUCCUCGGGUGAAGGUGGCGGACGGGUGAGUAACGCGUAAGAACUUGCCUUACAGACUGGGACAACAUUUGGAAACGAAUGCUAAUACCGGAUAUUAUGAUUGGGUCGCAUGACCUGGUUAUGAAAGCUAUAUGCGCUGUGAGAGAGCUUUGCGUCCCAUUAGUUAGUUGGUGAGGUAACGGCUCACCAAGACGAUGAUGGGUAGCCGGCCUGAGAGGGUGAACGGCCACAAGGGGACUGAGACACGGCCCUUACUCCUACGGGAGGCAGCAGUGGGGAAUAUUGGACAAUGGACCAAAAGUCUGAUCCAGCAAAUUCUGUGUGCACGAUGAAGUUUUUCGGAAUGUAAAGUGCUUUCAGUUGGGAAGAAGUCAGUGACGGUACCAACAGAAGAAGCGACGGCUAAAUACGUGCCAGCCGCUGC
rnacentral:rRNA from 1 species